rnacentral:rRNA from 1 species
GACGAACGCUGGCGGCGUGCUUAACACAUGCAAGUCGAACGAAGAGCGAUGGAAGCUUGCUUCUAUCAAUCUUAGUGGCGAACGGGUGAGUAACGCGUAAUCAACCUGCCCUUCAGAGGGGGACAACAGUUGGAAACGACUGCUAAUACCGCAUACGAUCCAAUCUCGGCAUCGGGACUGGAUGAAAGGUGGCCUCUAUUUAUAAGCUAUCACUGAAGGAGGGGAGUGCGGCUGAUUAGCUAGUUGGAGGGGUAACGGCCCACCAAGGCGAUGAUCAGUAGCCGGUCUUGGAGGAUGGACGGCCCACUUGGGACUGAGACCCGGCCCAGACUCCUACGGGAGGCAGCAGUGGGGAAUCUUCCGCAAUGGACGGAAGUCUGACGGAGCAACGCCGCGUGAGUGAUGACGGCCUUCGGGUUGUAAAGCUCUGUUAAUCGGGACGAAUGGUUCUUGUGCGAAUAGCGCGAGGAUUUGACGGUACCGGAAGAGAAAGCCACGGCUAACUACGUG